rnacentral:tRNA from 1 species
GAGUCAUCUAUCUUUGGCGAAAAUGGUAAACGCGUCGGAUUCAAGAUCUGAAAAUGCGGGUUCGAUUCCUGCAUGAUUUA